rnacentral:rRNA from 1 species
UGGGGAAUAUUGCACAAUGGGCGCAAGCCUGAUGCAGCAACGCCGCGUGAACGAUGAAGGUCUUCGGAUCGUAAAGUUCUGUUGCAGGGGAAGAUAAUGACGGUACCCUGUGAGGAAGCCCCGGCUAACUACGUGCCAGCAGCCGCGGUAAUACGUAGGGGGCUAGCGUUAUCCGGAUUUACUGGGCGUAAAGGGUGCGUAGGUGGUCUUUCAAGUCGGUGGUUAAAGGCUACGGCUCAACCGUAGUUAGCCUCCGAAACUGGAAGACUUGAGUGCAGGGGAGGAAAGUGGAAUUCCCAGUGUAGCGGUGAAAUGCGUAGAUAUUGGGAGGAACACCAGUAGCGAAGGCGGCUUUCUGGACUGCAACUGACACUGAGGCACGAAAGCGUGGGUAGCAAACAGGA